rnacentral:misc_RNA from 1 species
GAUGAAGAACGUAGCGAAAUGCGAUAAGUAAUGUGAAUUGCAGAAUUCAGUGAAUCAUCGAAUCUUUGAACGCACAUUGCGCCCGCCAGUAUUCUGGCGGGCAUGCCUGUUCGAGCGUCAUUUCAACCCUCAGGACCCUUUGGACCUGGUGUUGGGGCUCGGCCGCUACCCGCGGCCGUCCCCGAAAGAUAGUGGCGGUCUCGCUGUAGCGUCCUCUGCGUAGUAAUUACACCUCGCACUGGAACGCGGCGCGGCCACGCCGUUAAACACCCCACUUCUCAAGGUUGACCUCGGAUCAGGUAGGAAUACCCGCUGAACUUAAGCAUAUCAAUAAGCGGAGGA